UGGGGAAUAUUGCACAAUGGGCGCAAGCCUGAUGCAGCCAUGCCGCGUGUGUGAAGAAGGCCUUCGGGUUGUAAAGCACUUUCAGCGAGGAGGAAGGGUAGUGUGUUAAUAGCACAUUGCAUUGACGUUACUCGCAGAAGAAGCACCGGCUAACUCCGUGCCAGCAGCCGCGGUAAUACGGAGGGUGCAAGCGUUAAUCGGAAUUACUGGGCGUAAAGCGCACGCAGGCGGUUUGUUAAGUCAGAUGUGAAGUCCCCGCGCUUAACGUGGGAACUGCAUUUGAAACUGGCAAGCUAGAGUCUUGUAGAGGGGGGUAGAAUUCCAGGUGUAGCGGUGAAAUGCGUAGAGAUCUGGAGGAAUACCGGUGGCGAAGGCGGCCCCCUGGACAAAGACUGACGCUCAGGUGCGAAAGCGUGGGGAGCAAAACAGGAUUAGAUACC
rnacentral:rRNA from 1 species